rnacentral:rRNA from 1 species
UGGGGAAUUUUGGACAAUGGGCGAAAGCCUGAUCCAGCAAUGCCGCGUGAGUGAAGAAGGCCUUCGGGUUGUAAAGCUCUUUUGUCAGGGAAGAAACGGUGAAAGCUAAUAUCUUUUGCUAAUGACGGUACCUGAAGAAUAAGCACCGGCUAACUACGUGCCAGCAGCCGCGGUAAUACGUAGGGUGCAAGCGUUAAUCGGAAUUACUGGGCGUAAAGCGUGCGCAGGCGGUUUUGUAAGUCUGAUGUGAAAUCCCCGGGCUCAACCUGGGAAUUGCAUUGGAGACUGCAAGGGCUAGAAUUCCUGGCAGAGGGGGGUUAGAAUUCCACGUGUAGCAGUGAAAUGCGUAGAUAUGUGGAGGAACACCGAUGGUGAAGGCAGCCCCCUGGGUCAAGAUUGACGCUCAUGCACGAAAGCGUGGGGAGCAAACAGGAUUAGAUACCCUGGUAGUCCACGCCCUAAACGGUGUCUACUAGUUGUC